rnacentral:rRNA from 1 species
UACGUAGGGGGCAAGCGUUGUCCGGAUUUAUUGGGCGUAAAGCGCGUGUAGGCGGCUUGGCAAGUCCGCUGUGAAAACUCGAGGCUCAACCUCGAGAUGCGGUGGAAACUGCUUGGCUAGAGUCCGGAAGAGGAGUGUGGAAUUCCUGGUGUAGCGGUGAAAUGCGCAGAUAUCAGGAGGAACACCGGUGGCGAAGGCGGUUCUCUGGGCAUGACCUGACGCUGAGGAGCGAAAGUGUGGGGAGCGAACAGG